GACGAACCGUGCGAACGUUGUUCGGAAUCACUGGGCUUAAAGGGCGCGUAGGCGGCCCGCCGCGUCCGGGGUGAAAUCCUCCCGCUCAACGGGAGAACGGCCUCGGAUACGGGCGGGCUGGAGUAUGGCAGGGGAGACUGGAAUUCCUGGUGUAGCGGUGGAAUGCGCAGAUAUCAGGAAGAACACCGAUGGCGAAGGCAGUUCUCUGGGCCUUACCUGACGUUGAGGGACGAAGCCUUGGGUAACGAGAAGG
rnacentral:rRNA from 1 species